UGGGGAAUAUUGGGCAAUGGACGCAAGUCUGACCCAGCAACGCCGCGUGAAGGAAGAAGGCUUUCGGGUUGUAAACUUCUUUUAAGGGGGAAGAGCAGAAGACGGUACCCCUUGAAUAAGCCACGGCUAACUACGUGCCAGCAGCCGCGGUAAUACGUAGGUGGCAAGCGUUGUCCGGAUUUACUGGGUGUAAAGGGCGUGCAGCCGGAGAGACAAGUCAGAUGUGAAAUCCACGGGCUCAACCCGUGAACUGCAUUUGAAACUGUUUCCCUUGAGUGUCGGAGAGGUAAUCGGAAUUCCUUG
rnacentral:rRNA from 1 species